ACAGCGCGAUGAAUAGCGCGUUGGACUUAUAAUCCAAAGGUCGUGGGUUUGAAUCCUACCUGAGAUG
rnacentral:tRNA from 1 species